AGCAACACUUGCUAAGUGAAGUUCCUAGAGAGUCAAUUGUUUAAGACAAUGAACAUGAAUUUCUUUUCUCUAAACCAUCUCCUUCUUUCAUAUAACAUUUUUUUCUCUCUCCAGAGGGCUCGAUGUCCUGAUUGGACCUGGCUGUGGGCUGGUGGAGAGGAGAGGCUCAUCACUGUCACCAUUUCCAUACCCACUUUCGAUGCUGGUCAUAACCCCACCACGAGCACUGCGUGAAAUCAGCAGGUUAUGUGCAAGGAAUGGAACAUUUGACUCUCUGCAUUACACCAAGAGAUGAAUCAGCAACAAGUUGUCAAGCUUUUCAUCUUCUUUUUUUUUUAAUUAAUUAAAAUCAACAAGAAAUUCA